UGUUAACGUUAACAAUUGCUAUUCAUCAAUAUGGCGGGAAUCAAACUCUUGACAAUUCUGCUAUUUCGCCAGCUGAAGAAGCAAGAGUAAAAUUAUUAAAUUUCAUGAGCAAUGCAAAGCACAAUGCCAUCGACGAUAUUGUUCCUGAUGAGGAUAGUCCGGAAUUUCAAUUGUUAAUCGAGAAACUUUCAUCCAGUGGAUUUGAUCCCAAUAAUCAGGAUUUAUUCCUCAAUCAAGAACCACAAUCAGCAGAACGCAUCAAGAACUGGGUACAUAAAAUUAAAGAUGAAGCUGAAAAGGGUAAAAAAAACAGUACAUGACCGGCCUAAUCCGUAUUAUCUUCCUGGGUUUUUUAAACAACUGAUUAACUUAAGUGCGGAAUUUCCUAUUUGGACAGCAGUUAUGAAGAAAAACUUUAAUUCCAAAUAUAUCAGGGCCUCAUCUUGUCAUGUCGAAGGAGACUUUAAUCAAUUAAAAAACAAUAUUCUCAAACACGUUCGCGGUGCUUUGCGAGUUGAUAAAUUCUUUAAAAUUCAUCACGAAGCAUUAAAGGCUCAAUGUUUACUGGGAUCAGCUAAAAUUACCGAAGCUCGAAUGCUACCACCGAAUAUUGUUACGAACCCUCGAUAAAAACUGCACAAAUAUGAACAAACUGAACAGGAGCAACAACAUCAGCAGUUUUAUUCAAAUUCAUGUGACGAUCUUCCUUCUUUUAAUGAAAAUGAUCAUCACUCACCAAAUAUGCAGAGCAGUAAACUUUCUACAUUUUCUAAUGUAGACCGCACGAACGAAACUCAUGAAAAGUCAAAUUUAAACGACAAAACUAUUGUAAAAUCUCCAGUUGAAGAAAGUGUAUUUACUGAAAUGAAUUUGGUAAAAGCUGAUUUAUAUGAAACGAAAAAUUGGAGGAAUAAAGUAAAAAAAGAUGACUUUAUCGUUUCUUCCUCUCCGCAAAAUGGAUUUGAAAAUGAUUUGAAAAAAGAAGGAAAUACAAAGAAACGGCCACUUAAAGUCGAAGACAGGAAAUCUUCAAAAUAUUUUAAACAAUUUCCGGAAAUUAAAUUGCAUCACAACAUUGCCUCGACAGUGAAUACGAAAUUUACAAGCUCGUCAAAAUAUUGGCUACUUAUCAAUGGUAACCGUUUUUCAAAACCAUUAGUAAUUGGUUAUCAAAAAUAUAUGAUCAGAAAUACAUGUCAAUACGAUGCAUACGUUCAAAUUUUAUUGACAGGAGCAAUAGAAAAUCCAGAGUACUUAAUGUAUAUUAAAACUUCGAAGAACAGUACUUGUAAAUUUAUUGAACAAUUGCUUACCUCAGGAUCAGACGUAAUUAAAAAUCCAUCCAUUUACAAAGAAAGAUGUUUAAUUUUAAAAGAUUUUCCUAGACGUUAUAAUAAGGAAAAUAAUAAUGACGAUAUCGAAUCACCUAAAAUUUUAAAAGUGAUUGAUGUUUACUCUAAUGUAGCGGAUAUGUGGGAGUAUACAAUGAAAGGUGAGCCAAGUGCAUUUAGGAUGAGGAAUUGCAAGUGUGGAUUUUCCAACAUAGAGGAAGUGUCGUACUUUUAUUUAAAUCCGAAAGAAAUUUCUACAAAUGGAUUUAGAGGACUUCAGGAAGCCGUUACUGAUAAAUGGGGAAACGCAAAUGUGCAAAGUUGUGAAUGUGGUCAAAAGCCCUUUGAAACCUUAAAACUUAAUGCGCACAUAUUUAUAGACGGAGAUGUGAGAACAAUUGACGGAAAAGCAACACCUCAGAAAUGCAAACCUUCAGAUGUUCCUCGCUACAUUACAUUAUACGGCGACAAAUUAACAUUAGCAGGCAUCGUACUAUACAACGGAACAAAUCAUUACACUGCUCUUUGCACUAGAAAAACAACAAAAUGGGAAAUCUAUGAUGACUUGUCGACAAAGGUCAUUUCUGCACAUAAUCAAGAGAUACAACCAGGAGGAAUUAUUUACCUGAAAGUGAAUUAAUAAAAUAUAUUAUGCUAUAAACUAAAUUCAAAAUGGGUUCGCUCGAAAAUAUGCCAACAUAUGCUGUCCUACAGUUUGAGGAUGGGUUAGAAGUCAUUCGAACUCAAUGGGGAAUUUUUGAGAACAACAAAAUAGUGGCCUCUUAUUUUCCACCUACACAAUCAGCUAGAGAAAUCGGGGACUAUUUACAAAUGGACUUUAAUAUUGACUGUUUUGAUAAAUUUUCCUGGUCCAAUGAAAAUGGUUAACCAUGGACUAUCAUAAAGUUUUAUUUUUAUGCAAAAAGCAUGAUCUAUAAGAAUGAAGAGGAAUCAAUGGAUCCUAAUAAUGAUGUUUCAAUGGAUCCUAAUAAUGAUGUUUUACCAGCUGCAGAAACAUUAUUUGAAGAACAGGCAAUCGCAGGAAACAAUCCCAGAAGUUCUGCACAUGCUUCUAAUGAACAUGCUUCUACAUAAAAAGGUCGCUACUAUUAUUGUGAAAAAACUCAAUAAAGUUGAAAUGAUUCUACAAAAUAAUAGUAAAAACCCAAAUCCUCAGGCUUCUACUUCUCAACUUUCGACAUCACAACCAAAUUUUGACAAUAAGGAUGAUGAUUUGAGGCUAUUUCCAGCUCAGAAUUACAAUGAUAUUGAAAUAAUUGAAAACAAAUUACGCAACAGUAACUUCUACUCAAAAGUGAGGCUAUGCAAAAUCUGCAUUCAGAAAUUACAAUGAAAGAGAUUAAAACUAUUCUGAGAAAUUGGAUGUAUCAGUGCAAAAAUCGACAAAACCGAUACGAACAGGACCAGCAAAGGCGCAUACAACAAGAAAAAGCCAUGAU